GUACACGCUGUGACUAGCAUAUCAAUAAGCGGAGGAAAAGAGACUAACAAGGAUUCCCCUAGUAACGGCGAGUGAAGCGGGAAGAGCUCAAAUUUGAAAUCUUAAAGGGUUUCCCUUUACGAAUUGUAGUUUAAAGAAGUGUUUUCUGUUGAGGUUUUGGUAAAAGUUCUUUGGAAUAGGACAUCAUAGAGGGUGAGAAUCCCGUAUUUGACCUUUACUUUCAACUUUGUGAUACACUUUCAAAGAGUCGGAUUGUUUGGGAAUGCAGUCCAAAAUGGGUGGUAAAUUUCAUCUAAAGCUAAAUAUUGGCGAGAGACCGAUAGCGAACAAGUACCGUGAGGGAAAGAUGAAAAGAACUUUGAAAAGAGAGUUAAACAGUACGUGAAAUUGUCAAAAGGGAAGCGUUUGACACCAGUGUUGUUUUUCUGAAAAUCAAUUAAAGAACUGUUUAUGCUAAGUUGUUUAGACUUUAUCAGCUAUCUGUUUAGUUUUGAGCUUUUCUUUAAUGCACUUUUCAGUUAACAAGUCAACAUCAAUUUCUUUUGCUGUAAAAAAGCUUGAGGAAGGUGGCUUGAGAUUCGUCUUAAGUGUUUAUAGCCUCUUGCCUAUGCAGUCGGAGAGAUUGAGGUCUGCAGCGUAGAUCCUUCGGGGCUAAAUGCAUUUGUGCUAAGUUAUAGCAUUUUAUAGACAACUUGUUGACUAUGAUUUGUCUUGUAGCUUACUCGCUUAUGUUAUUUUACCUACGCUUAGGAUGUUGACGAGACUGUCGAUCUC
rnacentral:rRNA from 1 species